rnacentral:rRNA from 1 species
GACGAACGCUGGCGGCGUGCCUAACACAUGCAAGUCGAACGAGGUCCAUGCAGUGGCAACACUGCGGAAGACCUAGUGGCGAACGGGUGAGUAACACGUGAGGAACCUGCCCCGAAGACCGGGAUAACUCUCCGAAAGGAGCGCUAAUACCGGAUACCCCCACCUAACCGCAUGGUCUGGUGAGGAAAUGGAUUCCGCUUCGGGAGGGCCUCGCGGCCUAUCAGCUAGUUGGUGGGGUAACGGCCCACCAAGGCAUCGACGGGUAGCUGGUCUGAGAGGACGAUCAGCCACACUGGGACUGAGACACGGCCCAGACUCCUACGGGAGGCAGCAGUGGGGAAUCUUGCGCAAUGGGCGAAAGCCUGACGCAGCAACGCCGCGUGGGGGAUGAAGGCUUUCGGGUUGUAAACCCCUUUCAGCAGGGACGAAUCAAGACGGUACCUGCAGAAGAAGCCCCGGCUAACUACGUG